rnacentral:lncRNA from 1 species
AUUGCUUGAAGCCCAGGAGGUUGAGGCUGCAGUGAGCUGUGAUCGAGCCACUGCACUCCAGCCUGGGUGACAGAGCAAACUCCAGUCUCAAAAAAAAAACAAAUAAUAAUAUUUUACAUAACCAACCACUUCUAAAGAUUAAAAAAACCCCUACGAUUAAAAACCUCAGGUCCCUCAGGCAAUCAUACCAGAUAUUGAAACAAAGCAAUAACAUAAGGACUGCAGUAUUCAUUUUAUUUUUAUAUUAUUUAUUUAUUCUUCCUUAGUUUCUUGAGAUUAUCAUCCGCUGAGGGUGGAAGGGGAGUGAGCAGACACACUCAGGAGGUGUCUUGAGAUUAUCAUCCGCUGAGGGUGGAAGGGGAUAGAGCACACACUCGGAAGGUGUCUUGAGGCUCAGGGAGUUAUCAAUUAUAGAAUGUUGUUGAGUUGGAGGAGGUGGCUGGUGGCCCAUCCUGUUUUUUAAAGUUUCAGCUGUGAGGUAGGGCCAGUAGGGCAAUCCUGAAGAAUGACGAUGCUCCACUGCCGCCAUUCUGACCUGUAGGGCCAAAGGAGGGAAUGUUUUCACACAUAUUCAUUUGAUGGACAAAAUUACCGCCACCAACACAGUCUGCACCUUCUGUUGCUGGUGAUAGAUUUUUGCACCUUUCCAUCCUCCAGGUUUCAAAAUAGCAGUGUCAGUGUCAUAAUAUCACCCUUCCACUGAGUACUGCCGACAGCUAGGGGGUAAAGAAAAGUCAUUGGGACACACUGUUGUCUCCACAUGCCACUGUGUCUGUCUGCAAAUGUAGGCAGGCUGGGGUCCUGCCCCAGGGAAGACAGAGUCAUAACAGAGUAAUAAAGAAGCAUGUUUGAGACACAGGAGUGUCUAUGUCUAUCCUCAUUCCUCCCUCACAGCCAUCACCAGAGCAUGUUUCUUGCACCAGGUCAAUAGACAGUAAGAGACAGUAAGAGAGGCAUGAAAAGCCCAUUGUCCACACAUGUUGCAGCUUCUUUUUGGAGAAUGUUUUCCAGGCCUUUUAUGUUCUGUCUCUGAUUCUCAGAACUCUGCAAGGUCAGUGUGACCACCCUGCUCCAAAUCUAAGAAAACAGAGGUUUCCAGAGGAAGGAGAAAUUGUGCCCAGGGUCACACAGCUUGCAAGAGGCAGAGUGGAAGUUGAUUCCAGCUCUGCCUGCAGGACCCUCUCAUUUCCCCUCUGUUUCCCUUCUUGACAAAGGAUCUUCUUCACUCUGGAGGUGCCACCCAUGAGAACAAAGAGCUCUGGAGAGAUGUGGAUUCCUGAAGAGCUGCAGGGGAACUGGGAGAGGGUUUUCUGACAGAACAAUCUUACCUCAAGAAGUCAGUUAGGCAUGGCUGUAAUAUUUCUUUUCACUCCCAGGUAAUACCAAAUUGUAAGUGCAC